rnacentral:snRNA from 1 species
GUGCUUGCUUCUGCAGCACAUAUACUAAAACCAGAACAAUAUAGAGAAGCUUAGUAUGGUCCCUGUGCAAGGAUGACAUGCAAAUUCAUGAAGCGGUCCAUAUUUAA